UUGGAAGGGUGUCCCUAAAUUUCUUCGCCGUGUUGAUACAGCAUUGAAGAACAUAGGGAUUAACGAACGUG
rnacentral:pre_miRNA from 1 species